rnacentral:rRNA from 1 species
CCUACGGGAGGCUGCAGUGAGGAAUAUUGGUCAAUGGACGAGAGUCUGAACCAGCCAAGUAGCGUGAAGGAUGACUGCCCUAUGGGUUGUAAACUUCUUUUAUAUGGGAAUAAAAUGUUCCACGUGUGGGAUUUUGUAUGUACCAUAUGAAUAAGGAUCGGCUAACUCCGUGCCAGCAGCCGCGGUAAUACGGAGGAUCCGAGCGUUAUCCGGAUUUAUUGGGUUUAAAGGGAGCGUAGGUGGAUUGUUAAGUCAGUUGUGAAAGUUUGCGGCUCAACCGUAAAAUUGCAGUUGAAACUGGCAGUCUUGAGUACAGUAGAGGUGGGCGGAAGUCGUGGUGUAGCGGUGAAAUGCUUAGAGAUCACGAAGAACUCCGAUUGCGAAGGCAGCUCACUGGACUGCAACUGACACUGAGGCUCGAAAGUGUGGGUAGCAAACAGGAUUAGAUACCCCAGUAGUC